UUUCUCUAACAUUAGUCAAAUGAAGCAGCAUCAUUUCGUUAUCAUUUCUCUUACCGCCCAAGGCCAUAUAAAUCCCACUCUCCAGCUCGCUAAAAACCUCUCACGCGCCGGUGCUCGCUGCACCUUCGUCACCACCGUCAAUGGAUUCCGCAAAUUGAACAACCUUCCGUCCAUCGACGGUUUAUUCUACGCGUCUAUCUCCGAUGGCAACGACGACGGCGCAGCUAAAAUGGACUUCGGCGAUUACUUGAAACAGUUAAAGCGCGUGGGAUCGGAAAAUCUCAAAAAACUUAUCGAUGAACUUGCCGGCGACGGUCAUCCAGUUACUUGCUUAGUCUACACAUUUCUCUGGGCGUGGGUUGCAGAGGUGGCGCGUGAGAUUAACUUGCCGUCUGCUUUUCUAGUUAUUCAAUCUGCUACUGCUUUUGCGAUUUAUCACCAUUUGUUUAGCAUCAAUAACAAUGGGGUUUACAGCUCUACUAGCGAAAUUGAGCUCUCGUUCCCAAUCAAAUUACCAGAAUUGCCCCUGUUUUCGCGCGAUGACAUUCCUUCCUUUUUACUGCAGAAUGAUCCUUACUCUUCUUUCAUGAUCCCUGUAAUGAGAGAACACAUACAAAACCUCGAACACGACCCUAAUCCUCGUGUUCUCAUCAACAUUUUCGACAAAUUAGAAGAGAAAUCCUUGAAAAUUCUCGAUAAAAUUGGGAUCUGCUCAAUUGGACCUUUGAUUCCUUCUGCUUUUCUCGAUGGAAAUGAACUCGAAGACAAGUCUUUCGGAUGCGAUUUGUUUGAGAAAUCUGAAACUUAUUGCCAGUGGCUGGAUUCAAAACCCGAAGGUUCGGUUGUUUAUGUAGCAUUUGGAAGCGUAGCAAUGGUGAAAGAGGAACAGAAGGAAGAGGUUAUGCAGAGUUUAAUGGAAAGUGAAAUGCCAUUUUUAUGGGUAAUUAGAUCUAGCAAAGAAGAUGACAAGAAAAGAAUGAUGAAAUUUAUGGAUUGAAUGGAAAAGGGAUGAUUGUUCCUUGGUGUUCACAAAUGGAGGUACUUUUUCAUAAGUCAAUUGGGUGUUUCGUGAGCCAUUGUGGAUGGAAUUCGACCCUAGAAAGCACGGUAGCUGGUGUGCCACUGAUUGGAGUCCCACAGUUAUCCGAUCAAAUGACGAACAUCAAGAUGGUGGAGGAGGUUUGGGGAACAGGAGUGAGAGCAAGAGUAGAAGAAGAAGGAGGAAUUGUGAAAAGAGAAGAGUUAAAGAGGUGUUUGGAAGUUUUAAUGGGAGAUGGAGAGAAAGGAAAUGAAAUCAGAAGGAAUGUGAAGAAAUAUAGAGAUUUGGCUAUGGAAGCUGUGAAAGUGGGAGGUUCUUCACAUAAUAAUUUGAACGAGUUUUUAGAGAGUUUGUGAGGCAUUUCGACCUCGGAUUCGACUCGUGGAAUUAUACUGGAUAUGUUGUUAAAAAUUCCCAAAAGACGGAGACAAUGAAGAAUUGGCCAAGACCCACAACGCCAAUGAAGAUUUGGAGUUCUUGGGUUGUAAGGCAUUUCUAUUUCUUGGACUGAAUUGAUUUCUGAAUUUUGGUGCAUAAAGAAUUGGGUAAUUUGUUGAAGUUAUUAAGCUAUUUAUGUAAUUUUGUUAAGUUAUUUUAAAUGUAAAAUGAUAGUUU